GUGCAAGGAGCAACUGGAUCUAGACGCAACCCCCCUGCAGUGUGGACAACAGGAAGACUCUUCCAGAAGGUGCCAUUGCCGCCAAGACCGCCAAGAAACCGCAGGGCCUGCACAAAUCCCAAGAUCGGGGCAGUGCACCCCGCGGGUGACGGAAAGAGCCGAAAGUUGGCGAAAAAGGCCGGGGGACCACGGGAAGGGCCGAAGAGGUUUGGCGAAGAGAGCCAAAAGGCCUCAGGGAGGACCGAGUUACGACGGAGAGGGCCGAGGAUGGACGGAAACCACCGAGGGUUGAGGAAGAGAGCCGAACGGCGGAUGGGCGGCGGGGCCCUGCAGCCAAGGCUCCGGGGAUGCACAGAAAGAACGUAGGGAGGAAAGGAGAGUGGCCAGGGGGCCGGCAGCGAUGAGGGCGGGGACGCUCCCACAGGAACUGCCUCCUGGCCCACAGCAGCAGAGACUCCAGCCAUCACACAUAUGCUCCACACCUGACUGCGAGGAAGAGAUGGAGAAUGGCUGCUCCUGCCUUCCAGAUCUGUCCAGGAAUUCCAGUGGCCGCCUGCUCACCACUUAGUCCUGUACCAACCCUGGGAUGUGCAGGAGCCUGGGAGAAAAAGCCUUUUUAGAUUCCCAGCCCAGCGAGUUCCUGGUCUCUUACAGAAAAGGAAGAAAGACAUGCAUCAAGGGAAUGUGCCAUCGCAGCGGAAAGUCCUCUGUGUCCCGCCUUCAGAGUCUCCAGCGUCAUUGCUGUGUGAGGUCUGCUACUUCACAGUCAGCGCAGGAAUUCCAGUGGCC